UGAUUUAUGAUUUUUGGGUGU
ensembl:piRNA 21ur-1964 ncRNA